UGCCGUUCACCAGUUUCUGCCAUGUUACCUUGAGAAAUAAGGAUGGAUGACAUUUUACACUGGUUGUUUUAGAAUACCUGUACAUACAUGCUUCAUAACUCAUGUCUCUCUCAUAUCUGAUGCUUUUGAUUGAUAAAAGCUGCCUGCUGUGGACAAAAAACACUAUGAGAGUGGGGAGAGUGAAUGAAAAGAGUUGCAGGCCAGACAGCAAAACAAUGAUCUGAAACUGUAAAGCCAAGUGGAACCGCAGAUUGAGGUAGACGACUGAAUACCUGGGAGAUUUUGACAGGCGGGGAGCUAUUGAUGAACCGACAGCGGAGAUCCACCUUUGAGCCAACAUAACCCCACUUUCCGUCAUCCAUUUCCACAGUCUGGCCAUUUAUUCCUGGAGGAGAAACACAAGAUUUAAAAAAUAUUUUAAAACACUUUCACCUAUGUUGGGCAUACAUACACCCACCCACACACACACACAAAUCCGCACAGGUUGGCAGCAUCAGACUGGCACGUUCUGAGCUGUUCACAGUCAGUGCAGCAUGCUGAGCUGAUAAAGUGAGCUGAGCUGUCAAAGAUGAUACAUUCCAGCAGCGUGAGAGGUGAGCUGAGGUCAAAGGUCUUGGAUUAAAGUGAGGUAUAAAUAAG